AAGGCCCCACCCGCUCUUCAUCGUGUGCCACUAGAAAACAAACGAGUCCCCAAGUGAGUUUUGCUGGAAACCAUAGCUCCGUGGAAAACGUGCUUCACACACACACACACACACACACACACACACACACACACACAUUUGCCGGAUAGGCUGAGGCCUGUGUGUCCCCGCCGUGUGGACGAGGGUCACAGGGGCCUGCUGGACAUCAUCUCCAUGGCAGAGACAGCGACGAUGCCGGAGCAGACCAGCUGGAGCUGGUGACUGUCCAGCUCUCGGGAAGUCUAGGUCCGGCAGGAGUAGAGCUCAGGUUCCUAUUUAUUUAUUUGAAAGUCAGAGUUAACACAGAGAGAGGAGAGGCAGACAAAGAGAGGUCUUUCAUCCAAUGGUUCACUCCCCAAUUGGCUGCAAUGGCUGGAACUGUGCCAAUCCAAAGCCGGCCCCUUUACAUUCACUUUCCAUGGACACAACUUCAGCCUCAAGGUUUCCUUUUUGGUGUUUAGUCAGUUGUCACCGAUCAGGGAGAACAUAUGAUAUUUGUCCCUUUGGGACUGGCUUAUUUCACUCAGCAUGAUGUGUUCCAGAUUCCUCCAUUUUGUUGCAAAUGACUGGAUUUCAUUGUUUUUUACUGUGGUAUAGUAGUUCUCCAUUCAAAUCUCGCCUUGUGUACUCCAUCAGAGAGGUCUCCCUUAUUCAGGCUGUCUGAAUUACAGAGUUCCCUGCCCUGUGGUUCUCUUUCUCCUCACUGCUCAGCAUUUCUGCAAAGCAGCUACCCUGAUAAGAUUCCAGGAAUGGGAAAUAGUCAACUGCACGUGUGGAUGCCAUAUCCUGUUUCUGUACUGCCCAUUCCUCCACAUCCAUGGCCAGCCUCGUGCAAUCAAACAUCUGCUUAUUUGAAAACAAUGACCAUCAGACUUGUUAGGCCUCC